rnacentral:rRNA from 1 species
UACAGAGGGUGCGAGCGUUAAUCGGAAUUACUGGGCGUAAAGCGCGCGUAGGCGGUUUUGUAAGUCGGGUGUGAAAUCCCCAAGCUUAACUUGGGAACUGCAUUCGAGACUGCAUAGCUAGAGUAUGGGAGAGGGAAGUGGAAUUUCAGGUGUAGCGGUGAAAUGCGUAGAUAUCUGAAGGAACACCGGUGGCGAAGGCGGCAUCCUGGACCAUUACUGACGCUGAGGAGCGAAAGCCAGGGGAGCAAACGGG